UACGUAGGGUGCAGGCGUUAAUCGGAAUUACUGGGCGUAAAGCGUGCGCAGGCGGUUUGCUAAGACAGUUGUGAAAUCCCCGGGCUCAACCUGGGAAUUGCAUCUGUGACUGCAUAGCUAGAGUACGGGUAGAGGGGGGAUGGAAUUCCGCGUGUAGCAGUGAAAUGCGUAGAUAUGCGGAGGAACACCGAUGGCGAAGGCAAUCCCCCUGGACCUGUACUGACGCUCAUGCACGAAAAGCGUGGGGGAGCAAACAGGAU
rnacentral:rRNA from 1 species